rnacentral:ncRNA from 1 species
GUACUGAAGUUUAGGUGGGGAACAAUGUGCAAAUCAUUGACUAUCCCUGUAACGGUAAGAAUUACAUUCAAGUCCGAGCGCCACCCAGUAUAGUCCGCUGUUGAAUGAUGGCCAGGAAAAGUCUAGUUCUACAAUUUUAAU